rnacentral:tRNA from 1 species
GUAGAUAUAGUUUAAUAAAAACGUCAGAUUGUGAUUCUGAAAAUAAAGGUUGAACUCCUCUUAUCCACC